rnacentral:rRNA from 1 species
UACGAAGGGGGCGAGCGUUGUUCGGAAUUACUGGGCGUAAAGGGCGCGUAGGCGGCCUGUUAAGUCGAACGUGAAAUCCCCGGGCUCAACCCGGGAACUGCGUCCGAUACUGGCAGGCUUGAAUUCGGGAGAGGGAUGUGGAAUUCCAGGUGUAGCGGUGAAAUGCGUAGAUAUCUGGAGGAACACCGGUGGCGAAGGCGGCAUCCUGGACCGAUAUUGACGCUGAUGCGCGAAAGCCAGGGGAGCAAACGGG